AGGGCAACUGCUGCACCAAAUUGCUCUGGGAAUGUCAUUCUAAUUACUGGAUCCUGACCCAGCAGCAUGCUGAUAAGCUCUGGACUGCCCUUGGUGAUGCCCGCAUCUGACACCUCCACGGGGUGACGGGGCCUCUCCGCCACCACCUCCAACACUUCACGGUGCCGAAGGGGUGCUGAAGCCGGCCAGCAAGGAGGCUGCCAUGUGGGUUUCUGUGCUGGAGACGUUCUACAUGACAGGUGGCCACCUGCACACCUUGUUGGAACAGCACCUGCUAUCUCCUUGCAGCCGGCUUGGUCUGCGGAAUCGGGUCGGGGACCCACACACCGAAGGCUGACAGUGCUGGCUCCCCAGGGCCCGCCCCUCUGGGUGCUUCCCUCAAACUGUCGUGCAAGCUGGGACCUAUAGCUGUGUCCUGGGGAGCCCACCCCACACGAUGACCACGCUUGCUUAGAAAUAUCUGGAUCCCCAUGCAGACGUGACUCAGCCUCUGACUUCACUCUGGUAUAUGGGAUUGCUAUUCUUUUUUAUAGAUUAUAAUCAGUGUGCAUUCAA